UACGAAGGGUGCAAGCGUUACUCGGAAUUACUGGGCGUAAAGCGUGCGUAGGUGGUGAGUUAAGUCUGUCGUGAAAGCCCCGGGCUCAACCUGGGAAUGGCGAUGGAUACUGGCUCGCUAGAGUGCGGUAGAGGAGAGUGGAAUUCCCGGUGUAGCGGUGAAAUGCGCAGAUAUCAGGAAGAACACCCGUGGCGAAGGCGGCUCUCUGGUACGUGACUGACGCUGAGACGCGAAAGCGUGGGGAGCAAACAGG
rnacentral:rRNA from 1 species